rnacentral:rRNA from 1 species
CCCCUUCGGGGGACAAAGUGACAGGUGGUGCAUGGUUGUCGUCAGCUCGUGUCGUGAGAUGUUGGGUUAAGUCCCGCAACGAGCGCAACCCUUAAGCUUAGUUGCCAUCAUUUAGUUGGGCACUCUAAGUUGACUGCCGGUGACAAACCGGAGGAAGGUGGGGAUGACGUCAAAUCAUCAUGCCCCUUAUGAUUUGGGCUACACACGUGCUACAAUGGACAAUACAAAGGGCAGCGAAACCGCGAGGUCAAGCAAAUCCCAUAAAGUUGUUCUCAGUUCGGAUUGUAGUCUGCAACUCGACUACAUGAAGCUGGAAUCGCUAGUAAUCGUAGAUCAGCAUGCUACGGUGAAUACGUUCCCGGGUCUUGUACACACCGCCCGUCACACCACGAGAGUUUGUAACACCCGAAGCCGGUGGAGUAACCAUUUGGAGCUAGCCGUCGAAGGUGGGACAAAUGAUUGGGGUGAAGUCGUAACAAGGUAGCCGUAUCGGAAGGUGCGGCUGGAUCACCUCCUUUCUAAGGA